rnacentral:sRNA from 1 species
CCAUAGCCCCGAUAGAAGCGGUUACCCCACAGCAGCCACGGCUUUAGGCAGGCGCGAGGAGUAUGAGCGGAUAGCGGGAGAAAGC